rnacentral:rRNA from 1 species
GAUGAACGCUAGCUACAGGCUUAACACAUGCAAGUCGAGGGGCAGCACAGAGAUAGCUUGCUAUCUUGGGUGGCGACCGGCGCACGGGUGAGUAACGCGUAUCCAACCUGCCCAUUACUCGGGGAUAGCCUUGCGAAAGUAAGAUUAAUACCCGAUGUUGUUAAAAACCCGCAUGAGUUUUUAACCAAAGAUUUAUUGGUAAUGGAUGGGGAUGCGUGACAUUAGGUAGUAGGUGAGGUAACGGCUCACCUAGCCGACGAUGUCUAGGGGUUCUGAGAGGAAGGUCCCCCACACUGGAACUGAGACACGGUCCAGACUCCUACGGGAGGCAGCAGUGAGGAAUAUUGGUCAAUGGACGAGAGUCUGAACCAGCCAAGUAGCGUGCAGGAUGACGGCCCUCUGGGUUGUAAACUGCUUUAGUUGGGAAUAAAAAGAGGGACGUGUCCCUAAUUGUAUGUACCAUCAGAAAAAAGGACCGGCUAAUUCCGUGCCAGCAGCCGCGGU